CCUAAAAUUAUUUGUAAUAUUUGUGUUCUAUCCUUCAAAUGACUUCCUCAAUAAUAAACUUCGGACUUUGGUAUACAAAGAAAAAACUAUAAACCAAAUUUAUGGUAAAGUCCGAAGUUACCAAAUAAUGUUUACCAUAAAUUUGGUUUAUAGUUUUUUCUUUGUAUACCAAAGUCCGAAAUUUAUUAUUGAGGAAGUCAUCUGAAGGAUAGAACACAUAUAUUACAAAUAAUUUUAGG
rnacentral:pre_miRNA from 1 species